AAAAAGAAAAUAAAGCUCUCAACUCUCUCAACUCACCCCCCACUCCGACCAUGGCCCGGUCACUGGGCCGCUGACCCUCCGCCAUGCCGACCGUCGACCACCGGUGACGGCGUCGCCGUACGCGGUGGUCAGAGAGCUCAAAAGUCACAUUUCUUUCCCUUUUUUCUCGGUGGUCUCAAAAAGGGGUAAGCCCUCUUCCCUUUUCUUCUUUAUUCCUUUUAUUUAAAAUAGAUUUGAAACGAAAACAAAAAGAGAUC
rnacentral:lncRNA from 1 species